rnacentral:ncRNA from 1 species
UGUAUAAUUAAAACAAAGCAUUGUGAUGACCCUAGCGGGUGUUGACACAAUGUGAUUUCUGCCCACUGCUCUAAAAUGUCAAAGUGAAGAAAUUCAAGUAUGUGCAAGUAAACGGCGGGAGUAACUGGCGUCAAUAUGGUAUGGUAUCUUCGCCCAGGUAUUGAG